rnacentral:rRNA from 1 species
UACAGAGGUCUCAAGCGUUAGGCGGAAUCACUGGGCUUAAAGCGUGUGUAGGCGGAUUCCUAAGUACCUUGUGAAAUCCCCGGGCUUAACCCGGGAACUGCUUGGUAUACUGGGUGUCUUGAGCCAACUAGGGGCGACCGGAACAAACGGUGGAGCGGUGAAAUGCGUAGAUAUCGUUUGGAACGCCAAUGGUGAAAACAGGUCGCUGGGGUUGUGCUGACGCUGAGACACGAAAGCCAGGGGAGCGAACGGG